rnacentral:rRNA from 1 species
UCCAGUUGAUCCUGCUGGAGGGUAUUGCUAUCAGAGUUCGAUUAAGCCAUGCAAGUCAGCCUAUUCACUUGGAUAGGCGGCAGACGGCUGAGUAACACGUAGUCAACCUAACCUUGGGACGUGGAUAACCUCGAGAAAUUGAGGAUAACACGCGAUAGUUGAUGGAUGCUGGAAUGCUUCAUCGACCAAAACGUUUGUAAUUGGAACAAACGGCCCUAGGAUGGGACUGCGGCGGAUCAUGGUAGUUGGUAAGGUAACGGCUUACCAAGCCGAUAAUCCGUAGGGGCCAUGGGAGUGGUGGCCCCCAGAAUGGCACUGAGACAAGGGCCAUAGUCCUACGGGAUGCAGCAGGCGCGAAACCUUCGCAAUGCACGUAAGUGUGACGAGGGGACUCUGAGUGGUAUUAGCUCUUGCUAAUAUCUUUUGCCUAGUGUAAAUAGCUAGGAGAAUAAGGGUGUGGGCAAGACUGGUGGCAGCCGCCGCGGUAACACCAGCGCCUCGAGUGAUACCCACGAAUAUUGGGCCUAAAGCGUUCGUAGCCGGUCCUGUAAGUCCGCUGUGAAAUAUUGAGGCUUGACCUCAAUGCGUGCAGUGGAUACUGCGGGACUCGGGAGCGGGGGAGGGAAGAAGUACUUCUGGGGUAACGGUAAAAUGUGUUGAGCCUAGAAGGACUUCCAGUGGCGAAGGCGUCUUCCUAAAACGCGUCCGACGGUGAGGAACGAAAGCUGGGGGAGCAAAUCGGAUUAGAUACCCGAGUAGUCCCAGCUGUAAAUGAUGUAGACUGAGGUGUUUCUCUGGCGUAAGCCUUGGAAGUACCGUAGAGUAGUUGUUAAGUCUACCGCCUGGGGAGUACGACCGCAAGGUUGAAACUUAAAGGAAUUGGCGGGGGAGCACCACAAGGGGUGGAUGCUACGGUUCAAUUGGAUACAACGCCAGGAGCCUCACCAGAGGCGACAGCAGUAUGAAGGCCAGACUAAAGAUCUUGCCUGACAAGCUGAGAGGUGCUGCAUGGCCAUCGUCAGCUCGUGGUGUGAACUGUCUGGUUAAGUCCAGCAACGAGCGAGACCCAUGCCUUUAGUUGCUAAUUCUUUCUACGGAAGGGAUGCACUCUAAAGGGACUGCCCGUGUUAAAUGGGAGGAAGGAGUGGGCGACGGUAGGUCAGUAUGGCCCGAAUCCUCUGGGCUACACGCGGCAUACAUUGGGCGGAACAACGGGUCGCAACGCCGAAAGGCGAAGCUAAUCUCCUAAAUCCGCUCUUGGUUGGGAUUGAGGGUUGAAACUCACCCUCAUGAACGUGGAAUCCCUAGUAAUCGCGCUUCAUCAUAGCGCGGUGAAUACGUCCCCGCUCCUUGCACACACCGCCUGUCAAGUCAUCCAAAUGCGUUUUCGAUGAGGCCCUGGUUUUUGCCAGGUUCGAAUUGAAUAUGCGUGAGGAGGGCUAAGUCAUAAUAAGGUA